rnacentral:rRNA from 1 species
CCUACGGGAGGCAGCAGUGGGGAAUAUUGGACAAUGGGCGAAAGCCUGAUCCAGCAAUGCCGCGUGAGUGAUGAAGGCCUUAGGGUUGUAAAGCUCUUUUACCCGGGAUGAUAAUGACAGUGCCGGGAGAAUAAGCUCCGGCUAACUCCGUGCCAGCAGCCGCGGUAAU